AGGCCCUUUCGGGGGUACUCGAGCGGCGAACGGGUGAGUAACACGUGAGUAAUCUGCCCUGCGCUCUGGGAUAGCCACCGGAAACGGUGAUUAAUACCGGAUAGGACCACUUCACGCAUGUGAUGGUGGUGGAAAGUUUUUUCGGCGCAGGAUGUGCUCGCGGCCUAUCAGCUUGUUGGUGAGGUAACGGCUCACCAAGGCUUUGACGGGUAACCGGCCUGAGAGGGUGACCGGUCACACUGGGACUGAGACACGGCCCAGACUCCUACGGGAGGCAGCAGUAGGGAAUAUUGGACAAUGGGCGGAAGCCUGAUCCAGCAACGCCGCGUGAGGGAUGACGGCCUUCGGGUUGUAAACCUCUUUCAGUACCGACGAAGCGAAAGUGACGGUAGGUACAGAAGAAGGACCGGCCAACUACGUGCCAGCAGCCGCGGUAAUACGUAGGGUCCGAGCGUUGUCCGGAAUUAUUGGGCGUAAAGGGCUCGUAGGCGGUUUGUCGCGUCGGGAGUGAAAACACCGGGCUUAACUCGGUGCUUGCUUUCGAUACGGGCAGACUAGAGGUAUGCAGGGGAGAAUGGAAUUCCUGGUGUAGCGGUGAAAUGCGCAGAUAUCAGGAGGAACACCGGUGGCGAAGGCGGUUCUCUGGGCAUUACCUG
rnacentral:rRNA from 1 species